rnacentral:rRNA from 1 species
AACGAACGCUGGCGGCAUGCCUAACACAUGCAAGUCGAACGAGACCUUCGGGUCUAGUGGCGUACGGGUGCGUAAUGCGUGGGAACCUGCCCUUAGGUUCGGAAUAACUCCCCGAAAGGGGUGCUAAUACCGGAUAAUGUCUUCGGACCAAAGAUUUAUCGCCUUUGGAUGGGCCCGCGUUGGAUUAGCUAGUUGGUAGGGUAAAAGCCUACCAAGGCGACGAUCCAUGGCUGGUCUGAGAGGAUGAUCAGCCACACUGGGACUGAGACACGGCCCAGACUGGGACGGGAGGCAGGAGUGGGGAAUAUUGGACAAUGGGCGAAAGCCUGAUCCAGCAAUGCCGCGUGAGUGAUGAAGGCCUUAGGGUUGUAAAGCUCUUUUACCCGGGAUGAUAAUGACAGUACCGGGAGAAUAAGCUCCGGCUAACUCCGUG